rnacentral:rRNA from 1 species
AUUGAACGCUGGCGGCAUGCCUUACACAUGCAAGUCGAACGGCAGCACGGAGCUUGCUCUGGUGGCGAGUGGCGAACGGGUGAGUAAUAUAUCGGAACGUACCCAAGAGUGGGGGAUAACGUAGCGAAAGUUACGCUAAUACCGCAUACGAUCUAAGGAUGAAAGCAGGGGAUCGCAAGACCUUGUGCUCCUGGAGCGGCCGAUAUCUGAUUAGCUAGUUGGUGAGGUAAAGGCUCACCAAGGCAUCGAUCAGUAGCUGGUCUGAGAGGACGACCAGCCACACUGGAACUGAGACACGGUCCAGACUCCUACGGGAGGCAGCAGUGGGGAAUUUUGGACAAUGGGGGCAACCCUGAUCCAGCAAUGCCGCGUGAGUGAAGAAGGCCUUCGGGUUGUAAAGCUCUUUUGUCAGGGAAGAAACGGUGAAGGCUAAUAUCCUUUGCUAAUGACGGUACCUGAAGAAUAAGCACCGGCUAACUACGUGCCAGCCGCCGCCGUAA